rnacentral:rRNA from 1 species
CCAACAGCGUAUAUUAAAGUUGUUGCAGUUAAAAAGCUCGUAGUUGAAUUGAGGGAUUGACGUGACGGUCGUGCCUUACGGGGUAUGAAUGAACUGUUGCUGUUGAUUUUUCUCACCUUCUGGAGAAACUUGAUGUCCUUAAUUGGGUGUCUUGCGGAUCCAGGACCUUUACCUUGAAAAAGUUAGAGUGUUUAAAGCAGGCAUUUUGCUCGAAUACAUUAGCAUGGAAUAAUAGAAUAGGACGGCAUGGUUCUAUUUUGUUGGUUUCUAGGAUCACCGUAAUGAUUAAUAGGGAUAGUUGGGGGCAUUAGUAUUCAAUUGUCAGAGGUGAAAUACUUGGAUUUGUUGAAGACUAAUUACUGCGAAAGCAUUUGCCAAGGAUGUUUUCAUUAAUCAAGAACGAAAGUUAGGGGAUCGAAGACGAUCAGAUACCGUCGUAGUCUUAACCAAUAAACUAUGUCGACUAGGAAUCAGACGAUGUUAAUUUUUUAAUGAUUCGUUUGGCACCUUACG